UACGGGGGGAGCAAGCGUUGUUCGGAUUUACUGGGCGUAAAGGGCGCGUAGGCGGUCAGCACAAGUCAGUUGUGAAAUCUCCGGGCUUAACUCGGAAAGGUCAACUGAUACUGUGCGACUAGAGUGCAGAAGGGGCAACUGGAAUUCUCGGUGUAGCGGUGAAAUGCGUAGAUAUCUGGAGGAACACCGGUGGCGAAGGCGGCAUCCUGGACCGGCAUUGACGCUGAGGCGCGAAAGCCAGGGGAGCGAACGGG
rnacentral:rRNA from 1 species